rnacentral:rRNA from 1 species
UACGUAGGGGGCAAGCGUUAUCCGGAUUUACUGGGUGUAAAGGGAGCGUAGACGGCGGGGCAAGUCUGGAGUGAAAGGCCGGGGCCCAACCCCGGGACCGCUCUGGAAACUGCCCGGCUGGAGUGCGGGAGAGGUAAGCGGAAUUCCUAGUGUAGCGGUGAAAUGCGUAGAUAUCACACAGAACACCGAUUGCGAAGGCAUCUCACGAAUCCGCGAUUGACGCUGAUGCACGAAAGCGUGGGUAUCAAACAGG